UGACCAUCACUCUACCAACAAGGAUUACCAGGAAUCUGGAGGACUGAUGGAGAAGCCGUACAUCUGGAAGGCAAAUCCUGUGGACAACCAGGACGCUACCAUCAAGGUUUCCUCACACACCUGAGCUGAACCUCCCUGAUCCUGUUUGGUCAG